rnacentral:lncRNA from 1 species
CUGACUCUUCAGCUGAUUUAGGCAAUAAUGUUUUCCUUUUGCUGCAUGUAUCCUGUCAUACUUCAACAGCGUCACAAACAUGAAGACGAGAUUCUCAGUUACCAGGUGGCCUCUCUUGCUGAUGUGACAUUCUGGCUUCCGUUCCGCAACCCACAUCGAGCCCUUUUUCCACGUCCUCGUGUUUCGGGCUAUCGGAGGACUUGAGAUGUUCUAUUAAUGGCCAGCGGCGAGUUGGGUCAUUCACGGCAUCUCUGGCGAGUUUAGGUGUCAACCGGGACAUUAUGUACAAGUAGGAUCUCAGAUUGCUCUCAAAUAUUUCUCUAGUUUUGUGUCCAUCUGUACCACAUCAGUGCUGUACUGCGUUUACUCUUGUCCUCUUUCUCUCUGCUUCUGUUUCUCUCCCUCUCCUCCUUGCACUUUUUUUUUCCAUUUUUCUCUCUUGCUCUCCCUGUUUGUCCACCCCUCCUCACUCCCUCCCUCCCUCCCUCACUCACUCUCCCCUCUCUCUUUCAGUCUCUCCCUUCAUCCCCCCCCCCCCAAAAUCAUCUUUGUGUCUUAAAAUAGCCAGUGCGAGUCGUGAUCAGCCCGCCCUUGAAAGCUGCAUGUUGCAGAAAUAAGAUGAGGGAUUAUGGAUUGAUUCAAAUAGUGAGAGGCACCAGCCUCGCCGGGCUUGAAUUAAUGUGUUACUAUUUCUGGAGCCCCAGUGUUUCCAGGGGAAACCUAAUGACGCAAUGACGUCAAUGCAGGUCAAUAGCAGACUGGAGGAAUUGAGUGCUUCCAUUAGACUUUGCAGUAUUUCCACAAACGAGCGAAGGAUAAAAUGGAUGUGUUUCAAAUGCACGUGGGGAGAUGAGAGCACAGUUUUAAAAAAAAACAAUAAUAAUAAUAAAAAAAAAAAAAAACAAAAAAAGAGGGCGAGAAAGAAAUAAGUGAUGAGCAGCGCUCGGCGGAAAUCAUGUGGAAAGAAUGACAAGGGUCGGUGCGCGGCGAACGCUUCUCUCCCGGCUCCGCUUGCGCUGGAUGUCGCCGAUACCUGCGUGUCUCCGGGUGCGAGGAGGUUGCGCAGACUUGGGCUCUUGCUUUUCCACGCGUGGACUGUCUUAUAAAGCGUGGGCAUCCCUUCAACGGCGAAAGACUUUGUGCGUGUGCAGCAUCCUGGGGCACAGAGAGCAGGACCCCCCCCCCCUUCCUGUCCUUUGUGGCUCUUUUUGCGGUCUGGGCUUGCUGUUCCUUGAACCAGUAGCCAGG